UAGGGAAUCUUGGACAAUGGGGGCAACCCUGAUCCAGCCAUGCCGCGUGAGCGAAGAAGGCCUUAGGGUUGUAAAGCUCUUUCGCCUGGGAAGAUAAUGACGGUACCAGGUAAAGAAGCCCCGGCUAACUCCGUGCCAGCAGCCGCGGUAAUACGGAGGGGGCUAGCGUUGUUCGGAAUUACUGGGCGUAAAGCGCGCGUAGGCGGGCUGGAAAGUUGGGGGUGAAAUCCCGGGGCUCAACCCCGGAACUGCCUCCAAAACUAUCAGUCUAGAGGUCGAGAGAGGUGAGUGGAAUUCCGAGUGUAGAGGUGAAAUUCGUAGAUAUUCGGAGGAACACCAGUGGCGAAGGCGGCUCACUGGCUCGAUACUGACGCUGAGGUGCGAAAGUGUGGGGAGCAAACAGGAUUAGAUACCCCCGUAGUCC
rnacentral:rRNA from 1 species